rnacentral:sRNA from 1 species
UCUUUGCGUUAGGGAUUGAAGUGGAAAUCCUUUUUAUUUUUUAAUUGGUGUCAUUGCGAGGGACGAAGCAAUCUGUUAAUUAAUUAUGAGAUUGCCGUAUAAAGCAGAAAAAGAUUUAUGAGCAAAGACAAAAUAAAAAGAUUGCAGCGAAAAGCCCGCUCGAAC